UUACUCAACUUUCUCCGAGCUCUCCCGCCGCUUAAAAGUAAAGAGCCCCGCCGUAGGCUUCGAAGGAAAUCUGGUUUCACAGUUUAGAGAAAGGAGAAGGUCAAAACAUGGUUGUCAGGAAAAUGAGAUGGUUGCCAGAACAUCAGUCUGUGAUGGGUGCCAUACUGCAUUACUCUUUGAAUGGUGGAAUACAUCUUGGGAUUCUUCGGGGUGCUUAACGUGGUACAAACUGUACCGUACAGCUGCUUAGCAUCUUAAAUGUUUGCAUUCAUACAUAAUUGUUAAUGGUCUCCUGGGGGAAGUGGAAGAGUCUCUCGAAGCUGAAACUUGUGGAUAUGUAGAAAAUGCUGCUGAGACCAGUUGGAUUAUAUCAGAACCUGACAUCCAAGUUCUGCAGCUGAUGAAAGGAGUUCACCAGACGUUUUUGUUAUGUGGUUGCUGAAGCAUUAUCCUGGGACAAUAGUAAUGAUGGAUGGGUGAACGUACU